CUUCGAAAACGUCCGUCUCAUCAAUCUAAGACAUCUUCUAACUAUGGUCGAGCAACUUAUUCGACUCAUAGUUCACUCACGAUCACUUCUUUGCCCACUUCGUACUUCAAAACUUCUCGAUCGCCCGCGACUCGACCACCACAAAGGUACUCGACCAUUCUCUCUCCUUUUUUUUUAACGGGUUUCUACAUUCUCCCCCCCUUAAUAGAAUUCGUCCUCGAAUUCUUGGUUGCGCAAUUGCUCGUCUUCACAACAUUCUCCACUCAUCUCCAUAACCUCUUUACGCUGUCCACCACGGUUCCUUGAGUGUCCUCUUCAAGGCCUCCACAAUUGUCUUCAUAUCUCAUCACUGGAAUGAUCACUGAGUCAUCCUCUUUCUUUUACUCUGCCAUAACACCCUCAUUGCCCAUGAUACUAUCUUGUCCAGAUUCCUCAAAUCCUUUCUCGAUCUUUGUCUUCCCAAUUACUGAUGAAGUCCUUCCCCAAUGAAGUCUUGUUUCCUCCCAUCUGUCCAGUCCAUACCACAGCCCAGUUCUCUGAAUCUGUCUCUCCUCUUUCGCUUCGGGUUUGGGUUUGGCCUUGAACUCCCUCCACUUAAAGGUUUUCAUCCCUUAAAGUUCCGAUCAACAAACAUACUUACACG
rnacentral:lncRNA from 1 species